rnacentral:lncRNA from 1 species
ACCGAGGUGUUGAAGCUCCGUCGUAGACAGGGGGACCAGUGGAACCGUGCAGACAAGCCCUGGAAGGAGUGGUGGGGGACACAGCCUGAGACAGAGUUGCUCUCUUGCUCUCCAUCCCCCUCACUCGCUCUAUCCCUCUCUUCAUCCCUUUCCCUCUCGCCAUUCCCCUCUCUCUCUCCGUCUCCUCCAAAAAUCUCGGCCUGCCAGACAGCUGAGGUCAAAAGAUCCCCAGAGUCGACCGUCCACUCGAAGUACGGAACACCCAGUUGGCAUGACGACACAGCCUGGAGCUCCUGCUCCACCACCCGCAGGAAGUAGCGCUGCCAGGGCAGGAAGUAGGUGUGGCCACCAGCCUGAGGGGAGAACUCAGCUCUCAGCUUGGUGAAACCGUCCCAUACACCUACAGAAAAACCAACAUGAAAACAAGACUGAUCCAAGGUAUAAUAGAGAACAAAUCUCAGUUAGCUGUACACUUUGGUAGUAAAGAGUUGUAUAUGAGUACCUGGCUAGUAGAGUUAGCUGUAAAAGUGUAUCUAGCUAGUAGAGUAAGCUGUACAGUGUACAUAGCUAGUAGAGAUAGCUGUACAAGUGUACCUAGCUAGUAGAGUUAGCUGUACAAGUGUACCUAGCUAGUAGAGUUAGCUGUACAAGUGUACCUAGCUAGUAGAGUUAGCUGUACAAGUCUAUCUAGCUACUAGAGUAAGCUGUACCGGUGUACCUGGUUAUUAGAGUUAGCAUUAGCUGUAAAGGUAUACCAGGCUAGUAGGGAGUUAGCUAUACAUGUGUACCUAGCUCGUGGGGAGUUUGCUAUACAGGUGUGCCUAGCUAGCUAGGGAGUUAGCUAUACAGGUGUCCCAGGGUUUCCGUUAGGGACAUUUCACCGGAAGCAUUUUAAUUUAAAGCUGUAAACGGAUACCAGAGUAGUAGGGUGUUAGCUAUACAGGUGUACCUCGCUAGUAGGGAGUUAGCUAUACAGGUGUACCUAGCUAGUAGGCAGUUAGCUAUACAGGUGUACCUAGCUAGUAAGGAGUUAGCUAUACAGGUUUACCUAGCUAGUAGGGAGUUAGCUAUACAGGUGUACCUAGCUAGCUAGGGAGUUAGCUGUACAGGUGUGCCUAGCUAGCUAGGGAGUUGGCUAUACAGGUGUACCUAGCUAGUAAGGAGUUAGCUAUACAGGUGUACCUAGCUAGCUAGAGAGUUAGCUGUACAGGUGUACCUAGCUAGCUAGGGAGUUAGCUGUACAGGUAUCCAGGGUUUCUGUUAGGAAGAUGUGGCGCGAGACAUUUGACCGUCAGCCUUUUAAUUUAACGGACAUUUGAAAAAUUUACCAGACCCAUAUGAAUUGGGUGCGUAACCUGAUUAGGGCGUCCACCCACGAUGCUUAGAAUGACAGAAAUCA